rnacentral:rRNA from 1 species
GACGAACGCUGGCGGCGUGCUUAACACAUGCAAGUCGAACGGAAAGGCCCUGCUUUUGUGGGGUGCUCGAGUGGCGAACGGGUGAGUAACACGUGAGUAACCUGCCCUUGACUUUGGGAUAACUUCAGGAAACUGGGGCUAAUACCGGAUAGGAGCUCCUGCUGCAUGGUGGGGGUUGGAAAGUUUCGGCGGUUGGGGAUGGACUCGCGGCUUAUCAGCUUGUUGGUGGGGUAGUGGCUUACCAAGGUUUUGACGGGUAGCCGGCCUGGGAGGGUGACCGGCCACAUUGGGACUGCGAUACGGCCCAGACUCCUACGGGAGGCAGCAGUGGGGAAUAUUGCACAAUGGGCGGAAGCCUGAUGCAGCAGCGCCGCGUGCGGGAUGACGGCCUUCGAGUUGUAAACCGCUUUCGCCUGUGACGAAGCGUGAGUGACGGUAAUGGGUAAAGAAGCACCGGCUAACUACGUG